UACGUACCGUCCAAACGUUAUUCGGAAUCACUGGGCUUAAAGAGUUCGUAGGCGGCUCAGAAAGUUGGGUGUGAAAUCCCUCGGCUCAACCGAGGAAUAGCGCUCAAAACUACUGCGCUAGAGGGAGAUAGAGGUGAGCGGAACUGAUGGUGGAGCGGUGAAAUGCGUUGAUAUCAUCAGGAACACCGGAGGCGAAGGCGGCUCACUGGGUCUUUCCUGACGCUGAGGAACGAAAGCUAGGGGAGCGAACGGG
rnacentral:rRNA from 1 species